AAAGUCAGCAUAAUUAUUUCAAUCAUUAUUUUAAAGCAUAUAAAGCAAAAAGAGUUUAACUAUUUCAUAUCCUUACAGUCAGCACUAAUGAUUAUAAACCUCAUCUAAGCAUAAAAUACAUAUGAACAAGAAAAGUUAACUACUUCAUAUUCUUACAUCCCCCUCUUUGAGCAAAAAACUUGCUCAUAUUAUCGGUUAACAUUCUCCCAGAACAGAGAAAUUUCAUAGAAACAUAGAAACAUAGAAUGUGACGGCAGAUAAGAGCCAUUCGGCCCAUCUAGUCUGCCCAAUUUUCUAAAUACUUUCAUUAGUCCCUAGCCUUAUCUUAUAGUUAGGAUAGCCUUAUGCCUAUCCCACGCAUGCUUAAACUCCUUUACUGUGUUAAC